rnacentral:rRNA from 1 species
AUGCCCAGCGCCAACACCCGGUACCGCGGAGAAUCGUGGCGUGGAGCUCGCAAGGAGGACACCACCAACAUCAACAUCAUCAAGCUGGACCAGAGGCAUGGAGUUCGCGAGGAUGUCGUCGCGUGCCGGGUAGGACGACGGAGGCAUGGAGCUCGCGGGACAUCACCACCAAUGUCUACCUCGUCAAGAUGGAGCCCACGACACGGAGCCAAGAAGAUAACACACACCCUUGGUGCUGUCCGUGACCUGGAGGAGAAGAUGGUGCCACAUGACGGUCUCCAUGACCCGGAGCCCAUGAAGAUGAGGCGUGAUGGCGAAGAGGCGACGUCACUUUGCCAACACUAA